UGACAGCGACCAGGAACCUAGCCACUUUCAGGGUCGUAUGGGUAUCCUUAUCCUGCAAGAUUUGGGCAAGGUGGAAUUUUGGUGGAGUACCCUCUAAUUUCUGUAUGAUUGAUCCCAACAAAUUUGCCCGUGGCACCUUGAAUAAGGGGCAAGUGAACAUAAUGUGCUGAAGCGACUCCGGCAUCUCCUUAUCACAUUCGCACAUGGCGGAGGUUUGGCCCUUUGAGAAUCUAUGUCUCAGGGCAUUGGAGGGAAAACAUUAAACCUCGCUUUGGUGAAGGCCAGCCUAUGGGCAACAGUCGAAAGGGAGGAGAGGUAUGAUGGAACGCA